CGUUGCUAGGUUACCACCGCACCGGCUCGUGAAGCUCACCUGCGCGACCACCUGGCUCCAGGUUGGGUUUGUGGGUCAAUGUAGUUUCCUCACGUCGUUGUAAUGUGAGUGUGUCCGGCGGUAGCUCCUCACGUCGGCUCUCCACUCACCUCCACUUCCAGCGGGGAGUGGCACCUGUCCUGACCGGCCGUGGACAGCGUGAGACCCCGGAAACCCGUCCCUACGGCCCCCGCCGACCUGGAGCUACUGCUGCUAACCAGCUAAGUGUUAGCCGCCACUGCUCAGAUGCUCACACGUUCCCACUGGGGGGCUUGGACUGAUUCAUGUGGGAGCUGCUGCAGAGCUUCGCAUUUCUUGUCUUAAUAUGUCCAGGCAGAUGAAAGGGGGGACAGAGCAAACUGAUGGCACAGACCAGUGCUGCAUUUUCAUUCCUUUGAAAUGGGAGUAUAGUGUGAUGCCAGGAUUCACCAGGGGGUCUUACAAAGCCAAGGCAAUAAUGAAGAGGAGAGUUAUGGGGAGGGAGGAGGUGUGUAGUUGCAGAUUGGUGAGAGAGAGGGGGAAAUAAGGAAAACGAAACGAAUGGGGAGGGAGAUGGAGAAGAAAAUGAAAGGCAUCACUCGGAGCCGCAGAUGACUGUAAAUGAAAUAAAGUGCAAUAACAGUCAGUAAUGUGAAAGUCCUUGUAAGUCCUGGCUUUUUAUUUUUUUUAAGUCCUUUAAAAGAAAUUUAAAAUCGUUUGAAGUAACUCUGGAGGAAACAACCUCCCCCAUCUACUUUCAGGUUAAAUAUAUUGAUUAAACGAUUCAGACAAUUCAAAA